rnacentral:rRNA from 1 species
GAUGAACGCUGGCGGCGUGCCUAAUACAUGCAAGUCGAGCGAACAGACGAGGAGCUUGCUCCUCUGACGUUAGCGGCGGACGGGUGAGUAACACGUGGAUAACCUACCUAUAAGACUGGGAUAACUUCGGGAAACCGGAGCUAAUACCGGAUAAUAUAUUGAACCGCAUGGUUCAAUAGUGAAUGACGGUUUUGCUGUCACUUAUAGAUGGAUCCGCGCCGGAUUAGCUAGUUGGUAAGGUAACGGCUUACCAAGGCAACGAUGCGUAGCCGACCUGAGAGGGUGAUCGGCCACACUGGAACUGAGACACGGUCCAGACUCCUACGGGAGGCAGCAGUAGGGAAUCUUCCGCAAUGGGCGAAAGCUUGACGGAGCAACGCCGCGUGAGUGAUGAAGGUCUUCGGAUCGUAAAACUCUGUUAUUAGGGAAGAACAAAUGUGUAAGUAACUAUGCACGUCUUGACGGUACCUAAUCAGAAAGCCACGGCUAACUACGUG